ACCUUGGAUUUCGAAACGCAUCGUGAUUCCUGUCCAUUGGACUGUAAGGUUUAUGUAGGUAAUCUUGGAAACAAUGGCAACAAGACUGAAUUGGAACGGGCUUUUGGCUAUUCCGGACCACUCCGAAGUGUGUGGGUGGCUAGAAACCCUCCCGGCUUUGCAUUUGCUGAAUUUGAAGAUCCCCGAGAUGCAGCUGAUGCAGUCCGCGAGCUAGAUGGAAGAACACUAUGUGGUUGCCGUGUAAGAGUGGAACUGUCUAAUGGUGAGAAAAGAAGUCGAAAUCGUGGCCCGCCUCCCUCUUGGGGUCGUCGCCCUCGAGACGGUUAUCGUAGGAGGAGUCCUCCACCUCGCCGCAGAUCUCCAAGAAGGAGAAGCUUCUCCCGGAGCCGGAGCAGGUCCCUUUCUAGAGAUAGGAGAAGAGAGAGAUCACCGUCUCGGGAGAGAAAUCAUAAGCCCUCCCGAUCCUUCUCUAGGUCUCGAAGCCGAUCUAGGUCAAAUGAAAGAAAAUAGAAGAUCAGUUUGCAAGAGAAGUGGUGUACAGGAAAUGACUUCAUUUGACAGGAGUAUGUACAGAAAAUUCAAGUUUUGUUUGAGACUUCAUAAGCUUGGUGCAUUUUUAAGAUGUUUUAGCUGUUCAAAUUUAUUUGUCUCUUGGAACAGUGACACAAAAGCUCUAAUUCUCUAUGGUUUGAAAUGGAUCAUAUGAGGCAUGUAAUACCAAGAAUUGUUACUUUACAAUGUUCCCUUAAGCAAAAUUGAAUUUGCUUUUUAGUUUUGCAUAAGCUAAUAAACCUCUAAAUUCUGCCCAGUUGAAGUUUGGAUUUUUUUAAAAUACAGAAACAAAAUUGGCAAAAAUUGAACUAUGAUUUCCCUUUUUAUCCACAUCUGGGAUAUAGUAUACAGCUCUAGUUGAACACGCAGUCUUUAAAAGCUGCUGUGAAACAAGCCAACAGGUAGAAAUAAAAGCUGCACUAUUUAUACUAAAUUAGAGGUUUUUGAAAAAUCUAUCUAGUUUUCACCCUGGGCAGAGGUUGCCUAAUUGGUAUAGUUAGAAUCUGGUAAAUUCCAAGAAACUUUUUUCGUUUGCUUUAGAUCAUAAGUUCCUUAUGUGAUUGCUAUAUAUGAAUACACAGCUGUUUGUAAUGUUCUUUAUUUGGAAAUUUGAGAUAAUCAAAAUACCAAUGUCCUGCCAGUUUAAGGGUACAUUGUAGAGCUGAACUUUGAGAUACUGUGCAAGAUUUUUUUUUUCCAUGCUGUCAUUUGUAAUAUGUUUUGUGAGAAUCCUUGGGAUUAAAGUUUUGGUUA